rnacentral:rRNA from 1 species
AUUGAACGCUGGCGGCACGCCUAACACAUGCAAGUCGAACGGCAGCACGGUUUGUAGCAAUACAAAUGGGUGGCGAGUGGCGGACGGGUGAGUAAUGCGUAGGAAUCUACCCAAGAGAUGAGGAUAACGUGGGGAAACUCACGCUAAUACUGAAUACGCCCUUUGGGGUAAAGGUUGCACAAGCAGCCGCUUUUGGAUGAGCCUACGUUUGAUUAGCUAGUAGGUGGGGUAAAGGCCUACCAAGGCGACGAUCAAUAGCUGUUCUGAGAGGAAGAUCAGCCACACUGGGACUGAGACACGGCCCAGACUCCUACGGGAGGCAGCAGUGGGGAAUCUUGGACAAUGGGGGCAACCCUGAUCCAGCGAUGCCGCGUGUGUGAAGAAGGCCUUAGGGUUGUAAAGCACUUUAAUGAGGGAGGAGUAGGGUUCGUUGAAUAGGCGGAUCUGAGGACGUUACCUCAAGAAUAAGCACCGGCUAACUCUGUGCCAGCCGCCGCGGUAA